rnacentral:lncRNA from 1 species
GGCACUUUCCUGACGGAGGACUCGGCUCCUGGGAGCUCCGGCAACAUCAGCGACAGUGGAGCCCGGUCUCAAAAGACCGACCCGGCGGCCUGAGAAGAAGGAAGGAGGCCGAGGCGCCGCAGGGACCCUGGCACCUGCCCCUGACGCAGGAGUGGACGCGAAGGGCCUGAGUAUCACAAAAAGUCCCCAACUCCCAACUUCAGAAGAGGAGGUUAAGUGCUGAUGAAGAGUGAGAUAUUAUCUUUGAGAAACAAGAAAAUCCGUGCUAAGAAGAUGAAGGAAAAAAAGGCGAGUGAAUAUCGUGAUGGGUGCAGUUAUGCUGAAUAAUUGGAUGGGAGGACGUGCCAGGCGAUCUCCAGCCCCUGGGAGCCGGACGCCCACGCCUCCCUCUGCCUCGUUCUCACAGACACAUUUGUGGGGUGAUUAACUCAGGAAUUCAUGCUGCUCAAAGUAACUACAGUGGGAAUCAGGAUGACCCUCAAAAAUAAAGAAAGGAAGAAUUGCCAUUCGUUGGCUUUGAAAAGAGGAAGAAAGUUAUGUGCACCGUCCACCGAGGAAUGAAUGACACCCCGAUUCUGAGCAUCAAGGAAGCAGAAAUGGGAAAUAAAAUUGAUGCUGUACGUGAAUUUUUUCCAGACAAGCUUGUCCCAGAACCAGGUGCUCACCCAGUCCCUUGGAGGAUGGCGGGCUUUAGUGACCGUGGCU